CCCCUAGACGUUCUGGGCUGCACGCGCGCUACAAUAAUACGCACAGCGAGUAUCACCGAGCUCGAAAGGGCAAGGUAAACAAUAGAAAAGGUACUGUAAUGGUUAUAGAUCCUUGUAAUUAUUGAUCUUCAACGAGGAAUUCCUAGUAAGUAUGUGUCAUCAUCACGCACUGAUUACGUCCCUGCCCUUUGUACACACCGCCCGUCGCUCCUACCGAUUGAGUGAGCUGAUGAAACUGCCGGAUGUGGACUAUUCAUAGUCUGCAGAAGAUAUUUGAAUCGUAGCGCUUAGAGGAAGGAGAAGUCGUAACA
rnacentral:rRNA from 1 species